rnacentral:rRNA from 1 species
UACAGAGGUGGCAAGCGUUGUUCGGAAUUACUGGGCGUAAAGGGCGCGUAGGCGGCCUUCUAAGUCAGACGUGAAAUCCCCCGGCUUAACCUGGGAACUGCGUCUGAUACUGGAGGGCUUGAGUAUGGGAGAGGGAUGUAGAAUUCCAGGUGUAGCGGUGAAAUGCGUAGAUAUCUGGAGGAAUACCGGUGGCGAAGGCGGCAUCCUGGACCAUUACUGACGCUGAGGCGCGAAAGCGUGGGGAGCAAACGGG